AAAAAGAUAAAUCUGCCCUAUUCUAAUCAUGUCUUUGUCUUCUGUUUAUUCAAGUGUAUUCCAUUUGCUUUCGGGAAUAUUUGGAUGUUUUAGAACUAACAUUCUGCUUUAAUAAUCCAAACACACUAUAAUUCCAUCAAUUUGAGUCUCUUAAAAUGUUACACUGAAAUGAAUCUCUCUGAAGAUGGACUUAUUGAUUUCUAUAUUCUUCCUCUAGCAUCAUGAAAUUUGACCUCUUCAGCCGUGCAUGGUUAACACUCCAUCUAUCUGAGUAAGUCCUGCCUUGAAGAAUCGUGAGUGCAAACCAGUUUGAGAGAGAAGAGGAAAAAUAAAUGAGUCGUGCUCUGUCUUCCAGGCUGGAAUGCAG
rnacentral:lncRNA from 1 species